AGGAGCAAAAAAUUUCCAAUUCCCGUCGGAUUCCGCAACCGGAGGGCGGCGGCGGCUCGAUUCCGGGGAAUGUGCAUUGCUGCAACAGUAAUAUUCGGCGCGUGUGCUUCUGAUUCGUCAUCGAUUGCUGAUCGCGACUUGUGUAGGAGUGAAUUGUAAGGUUAUCUCAAUGUCUACGAUCUCACACCAAUCAGUGGCUGCGCCUAUUGGCUUGGCCUCGGUGUCUACUAUUCCGGCAUGCAAGGUCAAUCAGUUGGUUCAGGUUGCACAGAAGUGCCAGAGUACGAUUGCUGAAAGUGGAUCUGAUGGGGUUUCUCAGCAGGAUCUACAAGCAAAUUGUAAUUUGGUUCUAACAGCUGGGUGGUAGCUCACAAAGAGUUUGGAGUUGUAGUCGCUGAAUGACUUGGACUUUUCUAAAAGAUAUGUGAGGUGUUUGCAGAUAUCAGAGGUUGUGAACAGCAUGAAAGAUUUGAUCGAAUUCUGCCAGGAAAACAAAGUUGACCCAAUUGAGGGCUUGAAGGUUUAUCCUCGACAUGCGAAUGCAACCAGGCUUCAGAUGCAAAAGAUGCAGGAAAUGGAGCAGUUAGCAAGUGUUCAGGGCAUGCCAACUGAUAGGAACACUCUGAAUAAGCUAAUGGUAAUAACAACCAGCACAUGGCCAGUGGAGGAGCUUUGAGUGGCUCUGCACAAGCAGCUUUAGCGCUGACCAAUUACCAAAAUCUGCUCAUGAGGCAGAACUCGAUGAAUUGAAAUGCAAAUUCUCUUUUUUUAUUCUUAAACGAGGAGCGAUUCUUAAACAAGCUCUCAUCUCAAGAUUAUGUGAGAAUUUCACCUUUUUACUAUUCUUCUAGCUUC